rnacentral:sRNA from 1 species
AGACUUUGUCCAAUAAGUCUCCAAUGUACUCUGAAUAAUAAAGAUAAUUUAUUUAAAAUUCUGAUUUAAUUCAUAUUUGUAACUUCAUACAUAUCAUUUGUGUAUGUAUUUGUACAUACCAAAUGUAGCAGGAACUCUUUCAGGUUUCACAAUACAUUCUUGACCCUUUUUUGCCUUUGGGUAGCAUACCCGCCACUGCUGUUUGCCUUCUUUGGUCAUUGAUUGCCUCCGUGUGCCAUUUUCAUUGUAAUGGAGAGCAGCAACACAAAGUCUAUAAAUGAUUGAAAUU